rnacentral:rRNA from 1 species
GACGAACGCUGGCGGCGUGCUUAACACAUGCAAGUCGAACGCUGAAGCUUGGUGCUUGCACUGGGUGGAUGAGUGGCGAACGGGUGAGUAAUACGUGAGUAACCUGCCCUUGACUCUGGGAUAAGCCUGGGAAACUGGGUCUAAUACUGGAUACGACAUGUCACCGCAUGGUGGUGUGUGGAGAGGGUUUUACUGGUUUUGGAUGGGCUCACGGCCUAUCAGCUUGUUGGUGGGGUAAUGGCUCACCAAGGCGACGACGGGUAGCCGGCCUGAGAGGGUGACCGGCCACACUGGGACUGAGACACGGCCCAGACUCCUACGGGAGGCAGCAGUGGGGAAUAUUGCACAAUGGGCGGAAGCCUGAUGCAGCGACGCCGCGUGAGGGAUGACGGCCUUCGGGUUGUAAACCUCUUUCAGCACGGAAGAAGCGAAAGUGACGGUACGUGCAGAAGAAGCGCCGGCUAACUACGUG